AGUUGAUCAUGGCUCAGGAUGAACGCUGGCGGCGUGCAUAACACAUUCAAGUCGAACGAAGCAUUGAGCGGAAGCUUCGGACGGAAGUUCAUAUGACUUAGUGGCGGACGGGUGAGUAACGCGUGAGCAACCUGCCUGUGAUAGAGGGAUAACACGUGGAAACGCGUGCUAAUACCACAUGAGGCGGAGAUAUCGCAUGGUAAUUCCGUUAAAGAUUUAUCGAUCGCAGAUGGGCUCGCGUAUGAUUAGGCAGUUGGUGAGGCAACGGCUCACCAAACCGACGAUCAUUAGCCGAACUGAGAGGUUGAACGGCCACAUUGGAACUGAGAAACGGUCCAGACUCCUACGGGAGGCAGCAGUGGGGAAUAUUGGGCAAUGGGCGAAAGCCCUGACCCAGCGACGCCGCGUGAGGGAAGAAGGUCUUCGGAUUGUAAACCUCUUUCAGUAGGGAAGAAGCAAGUGACGGUACCUACAGAAGAAGUCACGGCUAACUACGUGCCAGCAGCCGC
rnacentral:rRNA from 1 species